rnacentral:rRNA from 1 species
AUCGGGGUGGGACUAAAACAUGCUAGUCGAACGUCUCUAGGCUAUGGUGGAGACGUGGCGAACGGCUCAGUAACACGUGGCUAACCUACCCUUAGGACGGAGACAACCCCGGGAAACUGGGGCUAAUACCGAUAGGUGAGGGCGUCUGGAAUGACCCCUCGCCCAAAAGGUGUCUAGACCAUGCUUCCUGACAUUGCCUAAGGAUGGGGCCGCGGCCGAUCAGGCUGUUGGCGAGGCAAAGGCUCGCCAAACCUAUAACCGGUACGGGCCAUGAAAGCGGUAGCCCGGAGAUGGGCACUGAGACAAGGGCCCAGGCCCUACGGGGCGCAGCAGUUGCGAAAACUCCACAAUGCACGAAAGUGCGAUGGGGCUAACCCGAGUGCCGUCCGCUGAGGAUGGCUUUUCUCCGCUGUAAGGAGGCGGAGGAAGAAGGAGAGGGCAAGACUGGUGUCAGCCGCCGCGGUAAUACCAGCUCUCCGAGUGGUAGGGACGAUUAUUUGGCCUAAAGCGUUCGUAGCCGGCCUGGAAAGUCUCUCGUCAAAUCCAGCGACUCAAUCGUUGGACUGCGGGGGAUACUAUCAGGCUUGGGAGCGGGAGAGGCCGACGGUAUUCCCGGGGUAGGAGUGAAAUCCUGUAAUCCCGGGAGGACCACCAGUGGCGAAGGCUGUCGGCUAGAACGCGUCCGACGGUGAGGGACGAAAGCUGGGGGAGCGAACCGGAUUAGAUACCCGGGUAGUCCCAGCUGUAAACUAUGCGGGCUAGGUGUCGGUGUGGCUACGAGCCACUCCGGUGCCGCAGGGAAACUCAUAAGCCCGCCGCCUGGGAAGUACGGUCGCAAGGCUGAAACUUAAAGGAAUUGGCGGGGGAGCACCACCAGGGGUGAAGCUUGCGGUUCAAUUGGAGUCAACGCCGGAA